rnacentral:rRNA from 1 species
GUGUCAGCCGCCGCGGUAAUACGAAGGGGGCUAGCGUUGUUCGGAAUCACUGGGCGUAAAGCGCGCGUAGGCGGAUCGUUAAGUCGGGGGUGAAAUCCUGAGGCUCAACCUCAGAACUGCCUUCGAUACUGGCGAUCUUAGAGUCCGGGAGAGGUGAGUGGAACUCCUAGUGUAGAGGUGAAAUUCGUAGAUAUUAGGAAGAACACCAGUGGCGAAGGCGGCUCACUGGCCCGGUACUGACGCUGAUGUGCGAAAGCGUGGGGAGCAAACAGGAUUAGAAACCCCUGUAGUCC